AAAAAAAAAAAAAAAAGAAAGACUAUGAGACUAUAUUGCAUUGUUGCCGUCUUGUAUUAUAAGUUUGUUUGAGUUUAGAUUUUUUUUUAAAAUUUUUUGAGCCUAUCCAAUAACGCAGUUUGAGCUUUGUAUCAACUUUAUUGGUGCUACCAUCCCUCGUUGGAAUAUUUGCAUAUGGAUUCAAGGACAAGAUAUCGAUGAAAUUUAUUUUUUGCAUGAACUAUGAUAGACUGAGAAUGAAAUCGAAUUCAAUAUCUAUUAUCUGAUCCAGCACUGAUGAAUCUAACUGAAAUAGCAAUGGUUUGUCUCAUCUUGAUUCAAUCAAAAAUUGAGAGUUUAUAUUCGAUUACCUAAUCUACUAAAAUUGGAUUAUGCUCGAGAGGCUAAUUUGACUUGAGCUGAUCAAAAAUAUUUCAUUUGAAAUUGAUAGAAACUCAAACCUAACCCAAACAAAUUUAUGAUAUACACCAAAACUUGGACCUAAAAACCAGUCCACAUCAAGUAUAUCACAUGCCAAACUUAGAUCUAGUCCAGACUUCAAGGAACCUCCAAUUUCAUAUCUUGCUAGAUGGAAAACAUAUGGAUGGAUAUCCAAAGACAUGGAAUGCAAGGGCAGUUUGAUAAUGAUGUGACAUCCUUUCUGCAAUUGCUCAUGGUGAUUCUCUAUUUCCCCUUGCAGCCCUUUUUAAUCCCAAAGGUGCUCACUCGAGCCUACCCUAUCCGAGGCAUGGUCCAUCAAAACCCAACAAGACCAUGGCUGAAGCAUGUGGGAUGAGUUUUUGGACAUGGAUUGAACAAUGAUGACGGUGCUUCUUGCGGGAUUUCUAGUUCGGCCUCAAUCACGUCACACAUGGGAGGUGGUUGGUUCUUAGGCCUUCUCAUUGUACCUUGUUAGGCACCAAGAUGUUUAAAUGGCAGCCACUAAGCCAUAUAGGCUGCUCUAUGUGACAUACUAGCUUCUCGUGCUUGGUUUAUCAUAAUUUUAGCCAAUCAACACACAAUUCGAAUCCCCUCGUAAAGCUUGACUUUAUGGUUGGAAAACUACUAGUAAUGACAAGUAGUUGGAAAUAGAUCGAAAACACCAUUAUCCACACACAUUCCCGACUUGCUUUAAAAUGGAACAUGAAGGAUAGAGUCUCAGAGCGAUGUAGAAUCAAUAGAGUUUGAUGAAACGUGUCGGACAUACGAGACAAAAAAAUUAAUUUUUUUUAUGAAAUUUUUUUAAUUACUUUUUGUUUCAAGAAGAGAAUCGGUAAAGAGUUUUACACAUCUUGAUUAGGUCAUUAUGAUCCAUAUCCAUCCCAAAUCCACUAUAGAUCAGAUAAAAUUCAUCUUACGAGAGAUAGUCGGAUAGAUCGGAUCGGAUAUCCAAUAGGAUGGAGUAAAUUGCCAUCCUGAGAAAAUUCACCAUUAUUUAGUUUCAAGAAAGAUGUGCUCUUUUUCUUAAUACCUCCUUUUAUUGGUUAUCCCUGCAAGAGGCCUUGGGUUAGGCUCUGAUUAGAUGGAGCGCAGCUUCUCUGUUCAUGGACCCGCAGGCAAGGUUGUGGACAGCGAAUGGCCUUGGGAUUCAGAAGUCACAUGUGUGCAACUUGCACCGACCCACCCAUGAAUACAUCAUACCAAACCUUUUUCUUCUUUUAAACAAUGUGCUCCAUAAACCAUUCAUCCCUCCUUGGACACCAUUAUUGACCAGCACAGCAGCCAUGGCUGGUUAUUAUCAAGCCAAAGAAGUUUAUAAAAGAAAAUUUUUAACUGCAGCAUUUCACCUUUUGGAUUAAAGGAAAUAGUAAUUAGGAUGACAACAAUAAGAUUUUGUGAUCCUGAGUAUUCUGUAAGUAAUAGAUUUAUCGGAAUACUACUUUAAAAGUAAAUAUUAUCUUUUGGGUAUAUGUAUGGAAAACAAUUGGGUUAGUUUUCUUUCUUUCUUUUUUUUUUUUUGUUUUCAAAAAUGAUAAUCACCCGUCUUUUCAUCGAAAUAAUGGAAAUUGUGUCAAACACUUGGUAAACACCCUAGGGUUCUCACAUGAACCUUCCUCUUAUUGGAAGAGGAGGCAACUGCUGGACUAUCGCUUUGUUUACUAAAAUAGUUUUAUAUGUGGAUAUUUAAUUAUUGUAUGAUGUUAUUGCAAAUGAAAAAAGUUGUAGUAUAUGAUUAAGUGACAAGGGGACAUGGUUUUUAUAAAUAACUAAAAUUUUAAGUCCAUGAUUGCCUGAGGAUCCUGAAAUUCUUAAUCUUGGAGGAAAUGGAUCGAGGUAAAGAGGCAAUGUCAGGAUAAUAAGACAAUGAUACAAACUAGAACUAGGAUUAUUUAAACAUGGUAGGUCAUAUGAGAAGCAUAUGGAACCAAGAUCUUUUGUUAACUGGUUACCAAUAUUUCAUUUUGUUUGUGUCAAGAAUUUGCUUGGCAUCUACCCUAAACAUUUUUAGAUUUUAAUUUACCAAAAUGUUAUUACUACGAGGAAAUUGAUUUCCCUCUGAUUUCAAAAAUAUCAUACCUUAGCAUUGUUUUUUUCUUUUCAUAUUAAUGGAAAUGGAGCAAGCCAGAUGAUUCCUCGAGAUUAAUUAAAGAACAGGGAAUAUGCACAGAGAAAAUUUCCAUAGAGAGAGGUUGGCAGAGAAGAAAUUUAGGGAGGGAUUACAUGAGAAUAAGAAUCAUUCAGCAUCCAUGAUUAAAGAAGGUUAAGUAGCCGUUCUAACUGUACAAAACUUUUCCUAAGAAUAAAUUACCCAGCAUCUCAAAGGUAUGCAAUAAUAUCUUAGAAAAAUGGAUGUUGAAGAAGCCUUUCAGAAAGAAAGAUUCUUGAGUUUCUCUCGUGCUAUAUUUGCCAACAAAAUGCCAUGAGAGUUGGUCCCAGCCCUUCGUAAGUUUAGAACGAAUCGACGAUAAUAUUUUGCCUUUAUUUGACCACACAUUUUCUUUGCCUUCAACCACAUAAUUUGACCUAUGGAAAGCACAUCAUUAGUUGGAAAGCAAUGCGUUAUGUACUCAAAAAUAAGUAUUCUAUCAUGUGAUGAUGUAAUCAAGUUUAUUAGCAUUUAGCUAGGCUUGACCAAUUGCACAUUAUGAUGCUCUACUACAUAUAUAUAAGUUCAAAAAGUUGACAGACUGUUGUGCAAUCAAAUGAACAUAUAUAUAAUGGCCAAAAGGAUAAGGGGAGUGCAUGUUAUUAUUCAAACUCCCCUUGGAGAGGGGGAUGCAUUAACUUAGAAGGAACAGGAGAAGGCACUAAAAGGCAAAAUAUUUGUUACUCCCUUGAAAAAAACAAACACAAAACCCUUUCUUACUUCAAUUGAUGGAGACAAAAUCACAAUUCUAACAAAGAAAUAGCUGGAAAUCAAUUUCUCAAGCCAAAAGUGACAAAAGAAGAAAAGAAAAGAAGGCAAAUAACCAAAAGAAAGGAGAAAGAGGAUAGAUGGAACUAGUGAAACUUAAGCUCAAAUUUUAUCCAUUUGUUCAUAAUAAAAAGUGUAAUUGUCCGAUAUUUAAAUCAUUUUAAAGAAGAAAUCUGGGAAACUUGAUCUAAACUAAAGUAAGCAUACUCUAGUGCACCUUCUCAAAAAGGGGGGAAAAAAAAAGAAUAAAAAAAGGAAAAAAAAAAUUAAGUCAUAAAAGACCUUCUCUUCCUUUCUCUCACAGUUGUAGGAAGAUCCCUAGAUCAAGGUAUCACAAUAUGGAGUCUUUUUUUUUGUAAUUUAAGAAGCUUGACAUUUUUUGUAAUUGAGCCAAGCUCAAGCCAGCUUAUUUAAUAAUGAGACAAACUCAAGUAGCUCAUAAACAUCUCAUUUAAAAUAUAAAUGAAGGAAUAAGGUCCCUUGGUGCCUUCAUGUAUAUAGUUUGAGCAAUUUUGCAACAUUAUAUUUUAUCACAUAAAUCUCAUUUUUAAUAUAAAUUUUUGUUUGUAAAUAGUAAUUAGAAUAAACAUAAUGCAUAAUAUAUGUUAAAUUAUUAAUUUUUUCCUAUUUCAAGUUUAACAAAACUCAAUCAAAACAAAUCAAGCGUGGCUCUAAAUCAUCUCAUUUAGUUCUCAAACAAGCCAAAAAUUCAAGCUAAGCAUAUAUAAGCUGUUAAUUACAAAUAACUCGUUCUUUCAAGAGUCCUAAUUAUGGUAAUAUCUUGAUAUCAUUGAUCAUUGGGAAGCAAUGAGUGCUACUCUUGUUUGGGUUCUUUACGGCUCUAUCUUCUAAAAUAAAUAUUUGGCCUCAAGUUAUCUACCUAAAUUUGAUACCCAGAUUCUUACUAACAUCGGCACAUACUUUCUUAUCUUUUUGGAAAAAUAUUAUUUUAUUUUAACAGCGGAUAUAUUUCUUAAAUUUUAGGUAGGCUGUAGUGUUUGGUGAAGAACAUGUGCCAUUCUUGGUCUCCAGUUGGUUUGGGUCUAGUCAUACAAGCUCGAAUUUGAUAUAUAUUUGAUACCAUAAGCUUUAUUCUACUCAAUGAGAUUGUUAGCUUAAUCCAAUCCACCUCCAGCUCUACUAGUCAUCAUGUCACAGUUCAAUCAACAUAGCAUGAUGUUAUAUGAACUAAUUUAUUAUAUCUAGUUCUAAAUCAAAUGACAACUUUCCACAUUAUUUUUUUCUUGUAGAAUCAUACCCGACAACAAAAUCCAAUCCUGCAUUCUUGUUUCAUAUAAUAAAAUAAGUGAUUACGAAUAAUCAUCUACAAGCAUUUCAAUCAUUUGGUAGCGAAUACAGAAGAACCUGCGGUCGGCCGAUGCAUGACCAAAUACAUCCAAGUCCAAGCAUUGAACAGUCAGAAUUACGCAACAAUUAUCUGAAAGUUCAGCAUGUUCAUGGAAUGUAGACCAUAUCUGCUCUUCUGAGCUCACAAAAGGCAUCAUAUCCAUUUGAGUCUGCCUUGCCCUUGAUAGCCUCCAAGUUAGUGAAACUAAAUAGGUCUUGUGAUAAAAAUCCAAUAUCCACCAAACAUUUCCUUUGGAUUGGAUUUUAAUAUAAACUUUGGCAUUAUUUUUUUUUAUCAAUCCGCUGUCGGCUUAUUGGAUGAAGCCAUCAUUUCUUUAUUGGGUGGCAUUGGAUGAAACCAAACUUUAGAUAGGUCAGUCAAAUGUCAUCCACAGAUGUUACUGGACAAAUCACUAUUAUAUAUGUAAGGUGAUGACAUCCAUGAACAAAAAAUUUCACUAUCGAGCAUUGAGCAUAUGCCGAACUAAAUAGAUAUAUGUAUGUAAAAGCUCUUUGGGAUUAUUUAAUGUUUUGAGUACGGUUAUUAACUGGGAUGGGUUCAAUCGACAAAUUUCCAUGAUAGGACAGCCUACAUGGCUUGAUUCUUUUGGAAUGUUGUGUUGAUAUCAAUUGAAGAAGAAUUUUCUCUUUACUUGGUGUAUGAAGUCUAAAAGUUAUUGCUUUAUCACAUGAAUUUGUUGCACCAAUCUUGGAUGAGUCUUGGUCAGCAACUUCCCAAAGCUUAUAGCGAAAUUAAGAGACCAUUUCCUCACCUCCUUGAAUGAGGAAGCUUCCUUCUUCAUUUGUUUAUGGCCUUUCAAUUACGGUGGCUGGACAUUUAUUUAGAUUCCACCCAUAUGGAAGAACUUAUAGCCUUUCAUCUGGAUUUCUUCACCUACGUGAUCAUCCCUAAGAGUUUUCCUCUAGCUAAUAUUGAAGAAGUUAAAGUUGUCGCUAUAUUAUUGAAAUCAAUUCCAAGAGGAUUAAUAUGCAGCCUUGAUAUAACAACCCAGAACCUCAUUAAAAAAAGCUAUUCGAAAAGUAUUAUGUCGCUUGGUCUACCUUACGCAUCAUCAAUAUGAGACUAAAUACGUUUCUACGUGAGCCCUCACAUACUUCUUUUAUUUAAGGCUUGGUAUCCUGGCUAAGUUAAAGAUCUAAAUCCAUUUAAAUCUAAUUACAAGCACUACAACUGGCCUAUAGCCAACCCCAAUAGACUCGCGUUGCAGUCCCUUAAUUCAUAUGAGUUAAAUCCGCUUUGAUAUCAUUUGUAACAUCUUAAGACCUCUCCCAAAAAGCUAACUAGAAUAUAUUAUUUAGAUUUAUUAGCUCUGUAUAAGUAUCUAAGAUCUAUCUAAUGCACAACCAAUAUAGGAUUAAAAAUACACUCAUAUGGAUCCUCACAUUUGAGUAAUUAAAUAGAUUUUAUCCUUUUUUCCGAGCAAGCUGAAUAUAAGACUUGGGGCUUGAGUUAUUUAUGAUGGGCUAGAGCUUCUGUAUAACAGUGGUAGUAGUUUUAUCAUAAAAAGCUUUGAUAGUAAUAGUCCUAGUAUUGAAACCGGCUCCUAUAUGGUGCGUAUGAUGCACCACAAUAUGUGAUGAAUCGCAUUGGCCGUCCAUUGCACAAUGGAUGAUCAGCAAACAACAUAAAUGGACUGCCAGCAAAUAAUGCACACCAUGUGUAUGCAUGUCCAUGCUUGUGUGCGCUCGUUUAUGGGCUGUUCAUCUUAUGAUGGAUGGGUAGUGUGAAGCACACUUUGGUGCACUGUAAAAGAUUCGCACUCCCUAGUUUUACUCAUGCCUUGUCGAUAUCAUAAACAUAAAUUCAAUAGCAUUGAGAUGAUUGAAAUGGUCCACUAUUUGUGACUUGCUUAGGUGCAAGAGGGUUCCGCCGCUUUUGCUUGGAACGUAGAAAAAGAUUGGAGGAAAAAAAGGAAUGCACACUGGUUGUUAUUAUUUGGCAAUAAGGGUGCAAUCAAGCUAAGUCAGUUGAAUAGUUAGAAGUUUGAGCUUGAUUUGAUUCAAAAUAUUUCGGCUUGAAAUUUGGCUCAAUGAAAAAAGAUAAUACUUGAGUUUGACUUGACUCGACUCGAAUAUUAAUUAAACUAUACUCAAGUUCGAAUUCGAACUUUAGCCUACUAAUAAUAUAUAUAUUAUAAAUAAAAAUAAUAAUNNNNNNNNNNNNNNNNNNNNNNNNNNNNNNNNNNNNNNNNNNNNNNNNNNNNNNNNNNNNNNNNNNNNNNNNNNNNNNNNNNNNNNNNNNNNNNNNNNNNNNNNNNNNNNNNNNNNNNNNNNNNNNNNNNNNNNNNNNNNNNNNNNNNNNNNNNNNNNNNNNNNNNNNNNNNNNNNNNNNNNNNNNNNNNNNNNNNNNNNNNNNNNNNNNNNNNNNNNNNNNNNNNNNNNNNNNNNNNNNUACUACUACUAUAUAUAUAUAUAAUAAUAAUAAUAUAUAUAUAUAUAUAUAUAUAUAUAUAUAUAUAUAUAUAUAUAUAUAUAUAUAUUCGAAUAAGCUCACAAAUUUUUAAGUCAAGUAUCAUUCUACUCAAGCUUGACUCGAAAAAUUAUUCAAACUACCCGAACUCGAGACUUGAACUCAAACCGAACUCAAGUAGCUCACAGGCAGCUUGACUCAUUUGCACUCCUAGUUGGCAAGACUUUAAAACCUUCUUCCUUUAUUUCAAGUAAAAAAAAAAAAAGGAUAUAAGGGUUCAAGUCCAGAUUUAGUUACAUCAGUUCUAACCAAACAUGUUUGGUACUUCACUAGUUCUGGAACAGAUACCAAGUUCAGCUAAAUCUGAGAAAAUCAUUGAAAUAACAGAGAAUAAAUACCCCAUUAAGCCUCCAAUCACACCAUUUAAAUGAUUUAAGGACAAAGAUUUGCUAUCAUCAUCACCAUCGAGGACAAGGAACCCACCCUGCAAAGCCAUGAUUUCAGGAAAAAAAACAUAUUUUAGUUCAGACAAGGAAAUGGACCUGUUGAAAUUCUUGAGUUAGAUAGGUCUGGUAGAUUUCUUUUGGAUCUUUUUUUUUUCCCAAGUACAUCCAGCAUUCUUGUUUGCCUACUAAGACCACCCAAGCUCAUAAGACAAUACUUUCAGAUUGACUAGCUCCUGCCAAUGAGCUUGGCUUUCGAAAAGUGCUGAAUUCAUAACUUAUAGUUUCCCACAAAUCCUUGGGAAGUAGAACUAUGAACCAUACUGAGGCCAUGCAGUUUUUGCUGGAAAAAGAAUGCUUGUGAUCAAGUUAUGGCCUUAAAUUAGUGCUGUUUAUAGAAAGAUUCACUUUUACUAUGGUUAAUGGAUUGUUUGAGACUCAUGACUUCCAUCCAAAACAUCGGAGCCACCACAAGCUGUUAAUGUUGGGCCAGAGCUUUUGUGCCACCAGCUUGGUUGAUGAAGGAAGAUCAAAAGCGAUCAAACCAUAAACCAGCCAUGUAGUUUUCCAAUCAACACCUUGCAGCUAGCUUAGCCUUCUCAUGCAGAAGUUUGUUUUCAGUUUUAACCAACAUAUUCCUGCUUCUGGUUCCUUGGACCUUUAAGAUUGAUAUGGUUUUGAAAAAAGAUGAUAGAUAUCUGCUGAUAAAUGAUCCAAUAUCUAUAUUCAAAAAAGGAUUUAAAUUAAAUAUAGAAUGUGGUAUACAUUAAGAUUCAAGACUUUUUUUGAGGGAGAGAGAUUCAAGACUUCUAAUAAUCUAAAUUUUGUGUAGAGACUAGUGAAAUGAUUUCAGUCAUCUUAAAAAUAAAAGCAGUUAGGGAGCGAUAAAUACUAGAUUAGAAGAUUAAGAAAGAAUGGAAUUUCAGGCCUACAUUGUUAUGGAUUAACCAAAAAAAAAGAAAAAAUUCUGGAGCCAAACAAUUUAUGCUACUUGUUAGUAAAUAUUAUAUCGAGUAAUAAUUUUUUUCCCUUUGAUGAACCAUUCGUCGGUGAAUUAUGGUACAUUGGUUUCUGGAACAGGGAAAAAAAUGUAAUAGGCACCUGGUGGUCAAAGGAAAAGCUCCAUGCACCAUGACGUGAUUUGGCUAGAUCUUCUUGAACCUUACCAACCUCUAUAAAUUGCGAUACUCCCCUUGUGCUGCAUGGUAUGAGGAACUUUAUGUUAAGUAAACUGUUAUAAUCUACUUCCUUGAAUUUGAUAUGUUAUUUUUGUUUAUUUAUUUUGGCUUGGGAAUUCAGUACGGUAUACAAGAGUUCAUAAUAAACAAAUUGAUGGAAAUCAUCCGCUGAUUCUCUUUAAUUUUCUUGGUAUCAAAUUAGGCAAAUAUGAGCAGUUAUGAUGAAAUCAUAUGUUGAUUCUCUUGAUACCAAAUUAAGCAUAUAUGACUAAUUAUGAUAUGGCCAGAUAUGCGACCUAGAUAUAUUCCAUUCCUUAAUCAAAUUUUAUAACAUUCCUCAUGUCAAGAUUGUAAAUAUUUAUACAGAUUUUCUUUAUAUCAGAUCUUGUACAAUCCCUUCAAUGUAGGGAUAUUGAUCUCAUAUGAGGUGUAUAUAGACUUAUUAUCAUAUCUAAUGAAAGCAAGCUUUUUAAAUACAAUUUUUUUUAAUACCUUUUUAGUUAUAAAUUUCUUCCUUGACAUGGUAUCGGAGCAAGAAAUUGCUCUCUUCCUUCUUUCUCUUAUGUUCUUCCUACAUCUAUAUUUUUUUUUCUUUCACUCCUUCUAUGAUUCAUCAAACUUCUCAUUUUUUCACAACAAUACAUCUCUUACUUGAUUAAUCUUUAUCUCCCACCAUCAUGGCAGAAAGUUUUGCACCUUUUACUGUCUUUCGUUUGUCUACUCCCAUACAAGUUAAUCAUAAUGGCUCUCAUGAUGUUCUCGCUACCAUUGUUUCAUUCUUUACACCUGAGCAACAUGCCUAAGCAACUCACAUUGAUUUCUUCAGGUACUCAAACACUAAUAGCCAAUGUCAUAGGUAUGCUUCUAGCUUGUUUCUCAAUUCUUUCUCAACUAUGAGUGAUUGAUAGUAGAGCUACUAAUCAUAUAGUAUCCAAUUUUUUCCUUCUAACCUCUUCUCUUACCUUAAAUUCUCCUAAAAAGGUGGCCCUCAUUGAUGGCAAAAAAGCCGACAUUACACGCAUACGAACAACAACUCUUAUUUCUUCUUUGUCCAUAAAUGAUGUCCUUUAUAUCCUAUCGUCUUAACAUAAUCUUCUCUUUGUUAGCAAGCUCAUAAAAAACUCUGAGCUAUGUCAUUAUUUUCCACCCUAAUGCAUGUGUUUUGCAGGACCUAUCGAUAGAGAUGAAGAUUAUUUUGGAUAAAGAGCAAGGAGGCCUCUAUAUUCUUCAACUUGACUUUAACUCUGUUGCUGCUCUUUCGGUCUCUCCUCAGUCCUUCAACCUUUAGUAUUGUCAUUUAGGUCAUCAUCCAUCUUCAUCUCAACUACUUCAUUUAUCUAAAACUAUAUAUGAUACUUCAUUUUCAAAUAAAUGUUGGUGUCAGGUUUGCCCUAUUGCUAAACAAACGAGAGGUUGUCUUUUUCUUUAAGUACAAUUCAUUUGUUGCUUCUUUUGAACUAAUCCAUAUUGAUAUUUGGGGUCUUUAUUAUUGAACCCAAAAAAUUAGAUCAUGGAAACAACCCGUGCUAUUGGCAAGAAUCACAGAGUAUCUCGUAUAUUAUGUAAUAAUUCAAAAUCUUUUCUUUUGUUAAGAUUAUGCAACCAAGGAUCAUGGAGAUCAAACUAACUAAGAGAUCUUUUCAUAUCGUGCAACAAUUUAAAACCCUUCCUUUAUUGGAGAGAAUCAUGGAGGAUUAUUUUGAUUAAGAGAAUCUCAUAUACUGUGCAACAAUUCAAAAACUUUUCUUAUUAGCAAGAUCAUGCAAAUCAAGAAUCAUGGAGAAUUAAGCCAACUAAGAGAUUCUUUCAUUUAGUACAAUAAUUCAAAAUAUUUUCUUUCAAUAUGAAUGUAUACCAUUUUUUGUAAAAUAUUUUCUUCAAUAAUGAGUGCUCCAUGUACUAUAAAUUUACAAAUCAAUGAAUAAAUUAUGUGUCUCACAAAUAUCCUAUCUCCUUAAAUUUUUUACAGUAUCAGAGCCAUAUUAGGACAUCAAAAUCCUUCACUAAAAAAAUGCAACCAUGUCGUCUACCUUUUCAAACCCUAAGUUAACAUUCCCUUCAACCAUUAAUGUGGCAAACUUUGUCACAUUAAAACUCAAUGAUAAUAAUUUUCUACUCUAGAAGACACAGGUACUAUUUCUUAUUGAAAGUCAGGACUUGCUUGGUUUCCUUACAGGAGAGAAAGCGGCACCACCACAAACUCUGACUCCAUAAAAUGGAACCGAGACAACCAAUCCAGACUGUACAUCAUAGGUUCAUGCCAAUCACCUCGUAAAGUCAUGGAUUGUAGGCACACUCUCAGAAGAAGUUCUCAGACAUGUCGGCGGACUCCGAAUGGCGGUGGAGGUAUGGAAAGCCCUAACUGAUCAUUUCAUACAAAACUCGGUUGCUCGAGAAUUCGACCUUCUUGUUCAGCUCUAACACAUUAGGAAAUGAAAUAAUUCUUUCAUUAUUUAUCUUCAUGAAUUUAAAUCUAUUUGCAAUCAACUGCAUGCCAUUGAUAAAUUUAUUUCAAAUGCUAAUAAAAUUUUUAGGUUGCUUGAAGGCCUUGAUAAUAGAUAAGUCAUUUAAAAUGACUAUGUUCAGACCUCCUCUUCUAUCAUAUGUAGAAGUGGUCUCACAACUUCAAAGCUAUGAGUUGCGUAAUAAGCGAAAUCUAAGUACUACUCCAAACACCUCCAUAGCCUUUGUCUCACAAUGAAAUAAUGAUGGCAACAAAAAUAAUCAUAUAUAGGGGCAGAGGUAGAGCCCCACCUUUAACUCAAAAGUUUGUGGCUUUGCUCAGGUGAAUCAGAGUGGCAAAUAUUUUUUAGGCAACAGCUAUGCGACUCAACAGUUUGGUUCGGCCAGCUCCAUACCAAACCCAAAUAUUCCGGCCGAGCCUCUUAUUUGUCAAAUUUGCAAGAAAAAGGAGCAUGAUGCAUUAAAAUGCUAGUAUUGCUUUAACAACAGUUAUCAAAGUGGUGACAUAUCAUGGUGUCUUGCCGCUCUACAUAUCUUGAAUCCUCAAGAUGACAAGUGGCACCUGACAUUGGUGCUAAUACUCAUAUCACUAAUAAGCUAGGUAAUCUUAUGAAUUUAAUUCCUUAUCAUGGCUCUGAUAGUGUGAUGGUUAGAAAUAGUAUGCCACUAUAAAUUACUCAUAUUGGUACCAGCCUAAUUAAUAAUAACACUUGCCAUUUUUCACUUCAUAAUAUUCUGAUUGUACCAAAAAUUAAAAAAAAAUCUACUAUUUGUAUCUCAAUUAACAAGAGAUUAUCUAUGCUAUUUUGAGUUUGAUGCCUCUAAUUUUUCUAUCAAGGACUUCAAGACAUACUAGGUGCUGAUGUUGGAAAUUAAUCACCAUGGACUGUACACCAAUAAAGAUCCCCACUUUGCUGCAUUCUUUUAUCAGAGAAAUAGGGUAGUAAUGAACUCACUUGGUAUCACCGACAGGACUAUCCGAACAGUCAUAUUUUAUAGUAUCUAUGAAGCAACAAUUUAAUUUUAGUAAAUAAGUCAAUUGGCACCUUAUGUACCAGUAGCCAGAUAAGCAAAAGUUCAAAAUUACCAUUUUAUUUAUCUAACUCUCGGUGUUCUUAUUCAUUGGAGAAAAUACAUUGUGAUCAUUGGGGACCUGUCAUAGUUUCUUCAUUGCAAAAAUUUCAUUACUACACGAUAUUCAUUGAUGAUUUUUUCUAUUACUAUUGGUUAUACUCAUUGAAGCAAAAAUCAGAGUUUUUUUUAAAAAAAAUUCUUUCAUUUCAAAAAUUGGUUGAAAAUCAAUUUGAUUGUAAGAUUAAAAUUUUUCAAUCUGCUAGAGGAGGAGAAUUCACUAGCAAUAAUUUUUUUACACACCUCUAUGAUUGUGGUAUACAGCAUUAGUUUUCUUAUCCUGGUACACCGAAACAAAACUGUGUUGCUGAAAGGAAACAUCAAUAUAUUGUCGAACUUGGGUAUGCUGCACUUUUUGAAGCUUCUAUGCAUCUUUGCUAUUAGGUAGAAGCAUUUACAAUGGCAAACUAUUUGAUAAACCGACUCCCAUCCACGGCUCUAGAAGGAUAAAAUCCAUAUUCUAUCCUGUUCAAGAAGGACCCUUACUACUAUUCUCUACUUUAGAUUUUUGUAUCUUGUUAUUCAUAUCUUUGAAACAACAUGAUAAAUAAAUUUAACAAGCGCUCCCUACCAUGUAUAUUUUUGGGGUAUAAUGAAAAACACAAGGGCUAUCACUGUCUUCAUCAAUCAACUGGCUGUAUUUAUAUAUAUCGACAUGUUGUUUUUGAUGAGCAUAAUUUUUUAUUUGCUUUCUCUUCUUAGGUUACUGCUACAACUAAGAAGGAGCUAUAGCCCAGCCCAAUCCAACCCAUGCUGUGCUCCAGCACUACUUCAAGCCCAAACCACAGUCCAACGUCCACUAAGCAAUGGGCUGAGGCCCAGUCCAGCUCCACACCUGAUCCAACAACAACUCAGCGAUCCAAUCUCUCAUCCACUGAGUCUGAUGCUGCAUGAGAAUGCGCAUGCUUGUUCAUCGAAGAUACACCAGUUGUGGAUGAAUCAGUGAUUGCAACCUUUAACCAACCGACCCUACCAUUGGGAGAAGGUGACACCCACAGCCAUAGCCCACCACAGUUUGAGGUUGUCACUUCUGCAUCGCACCCCGUGGUCACCCACUCUAAGGUCGGCAUUUUCAAAUCUAAUUUGAGGUAUGCCAAUAUUACAUUAUCAUCUAUUCAUUUCAAACCUGGGACUGUCCAUUCAGCCUUAAAACAUCUCAGAUGGACAGCUGCUAUGCAUGAAGAGUUACAUGCUCUCAUAGCUAAUCAAACCUUGAAGUUUGUCUUGCAUCAUCCCUCGAUAAACAUAAUUGGUUACAAAUGAGUGUUUAAAUCAAAGCUCCAAGUAGAUGGGAUGUUUGACCGACUAAAAGUCCGUCUUGUGACAAGACUUCCACCAAGAAGAGGAUGUCGAUUUUUUUAAAACUUUUAGUCCAAUAAUUAUACUAGGAAGCAUUCAUAUUGUUCUAACGGUUGCCACUAUUCGAAAUUGGCUGAUUCGCCAACUAGACAUCAAAAAUACCUUCUUACAUGGUGAUCUCGAUAUCCCUAUCUAUAUGGAGCAACCGCCUGACUUCCGUGACCCAUCCUAUUCUAAUCAUAUCUACUUAUUCCUACGUACUUUAUAUGGUCUCAAACAAGCCCCUCGGGCAUGGUUCAACAAGUUCAGCGACUUUCUUAUCGGAUAUGGUUUCUUCUGCAGCAAUACCGACCAAUCAGUAUUUGUUUAUCACCAUGAUGGUCAUAGUAUCAUCAUAUUACUCUAUGUUGAUGACAUCAUUCUCACAGAUGAUUCUCGAAAACUUUUAGACCACCUUAUUUGUGCCCUUGGUCAUGUAUUUUUCAUGAAAGACCUCAGCCCACUUCAUUUUUUCUAGCAUCGAAGACAGUCACUCCUCCGAUGGGCUUCUUCUUUCUCAGACGAAAUAUGCUUCAAAACUUUUAGCUUAGGCUUCCAUGGAGUAAUAUAAAUUGAUUGCCACUCUCAUGACUGCCAAACCACCACCACUCAAACAUGAUGAUCAACCAUAUAAUGAUCCCUUGAACUAUUGAAGUCUUAUUGGAGCUCUUCAAUAUUCUACUCUCACACGUCCAAAUCUCUUACUUGCGGUUAACAUCAUGCAUCAACACAUACACGCCCCAACUGUGACCCAUUUUCAAAUGGUUAAAUACAUAUUUUGAUAUUUUUUAGGUACUUCAUAUCUCGAGCUUCGUAUUUUAGCCCACAGCUUAUUAGACUUGUUUACUUUUACCGAUGCAUACUGGGUCAAAUGUAAAGUCCUGCAUCACUCCACCACAUGAUAUUAUACCUUUUUUGGCUCCAAUUGUAUUUCCUGGUGUGCCAAGAAGUAGCCUACUAUAUCUCGAUCUAUCACUAAAGCCAAAUAUCGAGCUCUUGCUUCAGCUACUGCCAAACUCACUUAGAUUUUAUAUAUACUUCAUGACAUUGGGGUCCCACAACCUCGAGCUUCGCUACUUUUCUCUGACAACUUGUCUGCAUUACAUCUCACAACCAAUCCAAUCUUUCAUGAUAGAACCAAGCACAUCGAGAUCGAUUAUUAUUUCAUUUGAAAAAAGAUCAUCCUAGGCUCUAUUAUCACUCACUAUGUUCCAUCCUCUGUAUAACUCACGGAUAUAUUCAUUUAGCUAUUGAUCCGGAAUAACUUUAUUGGUCUACGAACCAAACUCGACCUCUGAUCCUUAUCAUCGCCUGAUUUAAAGGAGAGUAUUGAAGCCAAAAAAUUAGAUCAUGGAAACAACCUGUGCUAUUAUCAAGAAUCAAAAAGUAUCUUGUAUAUUGUACAAUAAUUCAAUAUCUUUUCUUUCGGCAAGAUCAUGCAAUCAAAGAUCAUGGAGAUCAAACCAACUAAGAGAUCUUUUCAUAGAAUGUAACAACUCAAAACCUUCCUUUAUUAGAGAGAAUUAUAGGAGAUUACAUUGAUUAAGAGAAUCUCACAUAUUAUGUAAUAAUUCAAAAAUUUUUCUUAUUGGCAAGAUCAUGCAAAUCAAGAAUCAUGGAGAAUCAAGCUCAUUAAGAGAUUCUUCUAUUUAGUGCAAUAAUUUAAAAUAUAUUUUUUUAAUAUGAAUGCAUACUAUUUUUUUGUAAAGUAUUUUCUUCAAUAAUGAUUGCUCCAUAUACUAUAAAUUUAUAAAUCAAUGAAUGAAUUGUGUGUGGCAUUUUUCCUCAAAUAUCCUAUCUCAUUAAUUCUUUACUCAUAGUGUUAAAUGGUUAAAUGUCAUUGUGGUGUAUCUUAUUUUUUAAAUUUAGUUGAUGACUAUUUUCAUGUUAUAUGUAUUUUACUAAUACAAUGUAAAACUCAAAUUCGUCAUUUUAUCCAAAAUUUCAUCUUGCUUGUUAAAACUCAGCACAACACCCGUAUUAAAGGAAUUAGGACCAAUAAUGGUCUCAAAUUUUUCAUCAUGAAUUUCAACAUUUUUUUACACCUUGAAGGUAUUAUUCAUGAUAUAGUUGUGUUGGAACUUCCUAAUAAAAUAAGUUUGUAGAGCACAACCACAGGCAUUUACUUCAGGUUACUUAUGCUUUGCGAUUUCAAAUUUAUCUUCCUUUUGAUUUUUGGGGUGGAUGUGUUCUUAUAACAACUUGAUUAAUCGCAUUCCCUCUCCAAUUUUGUUUAACUGUUCUCCAUAUAAGAUUUGUUUGGUACUCAACCUACUUAUAGUCAUUUUAAGUUUUUUGGUUGUUUAUGCUUUGCAUAUAAUAUUCAUAAGAAAUAUAAAUUUGAUGCUCAUGCUAUUCCUAAUAUUUUUGUGGGUUAUCCUUUAGGACAAAAAAGCUACUAUGUAUAUGACAUAUAAACAAAAUAAAUAUUCACAAGUAGGGAUAUUCGAUUCUUUGAAGAUAUUUUUUUUUUUCAACACGUUCCAUCAAAUUUUCUUAAUCCUAGCCCAAUGCUACCCCUUCUUAUGAGUGAUCUUGCUCUUGACUCUAUUUUUUCUAUGCCAUCUCCUAUACAGCCUAUCAUUUCAAAUGUUAGCAUGACUUCAUUCCUUAACUAUAAGUUUUUCUCUACCACAUCUACAUCUCUAUUCCUAUUCUUAUCAACCUUAGAUCCAUCACCUUCUCCUAGUAACUUAUCUAUAUCACCUCAACCAAUCUCCUUGUCUGUGUCACUCUACUUGGCCUACCAAGUGACCCACCUAUCUAAAUAAUUAUUAUUGCUCCACUAGUAUUGCCUCCAAGCUCUCAUAUCAAAAGUUUUCAUCUUCGGUGAUUUCAUUCUCAGAUACAUCAUUUCCACUCUCUAACUAUUUUGUUAUAGAAUUGAUGAAAAAAUAAAAUAAAUGGGCAAGAUAUAUCUAUGAUAUUGUCUCAAAGAUAGUAUUUUUUUCAUUAGGAUCAUAAUCCAUAAAUAUAUAGAUGGCUACUUGAAAAACAUACCUCCAAGAUAUAAUGCCUGACUCUAAUCUUUUUCUUCUAAAUUUGCAUAUUUAGAUAAAGAUAAACUAAUUAGAAUCGUUGAUCACCAAAAAAUAAAAAUACAGUGAAAGUAUAAAAAUAAAAAGAAUUAAAUAUCUCUCAUAUUUUUUUAUCAAAUUUAUAGUAAUCCAAAGAAGGUUAUCCAAAAGACAUGUCCUUUGGGAGAAUCCAUUAUUUUGGUAAGAAAAAAGCUCUUUAGAGUUUUAGAUUUAAAAGAAUCUGAUAACUACUCAAAGAAAACUAUCAAAAUUGAAACUCCUAUUUCAUCCAUACGUAAUCCUAUAGGCUGCAAACCAAUGAAAAAAACUUCCAUUGAAAAAAGAAACAUCCAUUCGAAAUGUUUUAAACCAAGAGUCAUUGCCUUUUUAAACUAUAUCAAUUUUUUAUUUUUUAAAAAAAGUACAAUAUUCUCCCACUAUUUUUUAAAAAAUAAAAAAUAAAAAAAUAAAAAAAAUAAAAUAAACUAAUAAAUAAACAACUAUCUGCACAAUACAUAGCCAUAGGUGGAUAUUCUUGAACCUAUAGUUUAAACAAAGUCUAAAGUAAAUGAGAGGAUAAAACCUUGAUCUCGUAUUGUACUUUAGAUUUGUUCACAUUAUACAAAGGUUAAUUAGUUCUUUUAAAACCAUACAUUAUAGGUCAUGUGCUUAUCCCAGCUUAGUGAGUAUACUUUAAAACUUUACCACAGUUCAUGAGUAGUGACCCUAACUUCUACAUCUACAAACAUAAAUCCCAUCAAGAGUGUUCACAACCUCUUUCACUUUAUCGAAACUAUAGGUUUGUUAAGAACUUAUCAAUUCAACCUUACCUUGUUGCAAAGUAGCAGUGCAUAUGUAGAGAGAGAAUUUUUAUUUUGAAACUAUAAUUUUAAGCACUAGUUUCAAAAAUUUAUGCAUAAAAAAUGUAACCUCAUUGCUAGCAUUUCAAUGGGUCUUAACCGAUAAAAUUUUCUUUGAACUCCAAUUUUGAAAUUUGAAGGCUAUAAUUAGUUGACCUCAAGUAUUUGGUAAUAAUCCCAUCUCCUUUGAAGCUUUUAAUAAUUUUCUUUGUGUCAAUAGUUUAGUAAAUGAAUCUGCCAAUAUAAAUUCAGUUGGAAGAUAUUCCAUAACCACUUUAUUCUUUUUCAUUAUUUUUUUAAUAUGAUGAUAUUUCAUAGUAAUAUUUUAAGUCUUGUCAGAUAUUUUAUUACGUUAGCAAUGCAUUUCGCUGCUUUAUUAUCAUAAUACAUAGUAAUGAGUUGAAUAGGAGUAUUGAUAAAAGAAAUUUAUCUUAAAAAUCUCCCAACCCAUAUUAGUUUUUUGCCAGCUAAAGACAUAGCAAUAUACUCAGAUUAUAUUAAAGAUAGAGCAAUACAGAUAUGUUUCUUAGAAGACCAAGUAAUAGCACCACCUCCCAUGCUGAAUAUCCACCCACUAAUAGAUUUAAAAUCAAAUUUUCUUUAAGCCUAAUCAGCAUCAGAGUAAUAUUCUAAUAUAGGUGAAAAGCCAUCAUAACAUAGUCCAUAGUGCAAAAUAUAUUUUAGGUAUCUAAAUAAUCUUUUAAUGUCUCUCCAAUGAUCUGCACUAGGACUAGAAGUGAACUUAUUCAAUUUUUCUAUAGUAUAUGUUAUAUCGGGUCUUAUACAAUGCAUGCGAUAUAUAAGACUUUCGAUAAUUCUAGUAUAUUUCUCUUACUCAAUGGGUUAACCUUCAUUCUUCAUUAAAGAUUGGGUACUUAAAGGUACCUUGCUAGGUGUGCAAUCAAAAUAGUUAAAAUGAUUUAAUACUUUCUCAAUAUAAUGUGAUUGGGUCAAGAUUAUUUUAUCAUCUUAUUGAAUAACUUUUAUUCUAAAAAUCACAUCCACUGGACCUAUGUCUUUAAUAUCAAAAUUUUGUUUAAGAAAACUUUUUAUUUCUUCAAUAAUUUUUAAAUUUAAAUAAAAAAUAAAUAAAUCAUCUACAUAGUGUAACAACUACUUUACCAUCAUCAGUCACUUUUGAAAAAAAUAUAAUUUUCAACUUUGUUAUUUUUGAAACCUAGUUUUUUUAACCCCUUCUUUAAAUUUUUUAUACCAUUGUCUAGGUGGUUGUUUAAGAUUAUACAAAGAUUUAUUUAGCUUAUAAACUUUAUCUUCUUAACCAAUUUAAAUAUAACCUUCAGAUUGAUCAAUAUAAAAUUCUUCAUCAAGACUACCAUUAAGAAAAGCUGUAUUUAUAUCUAUUUGGUGUAUUUCUAAUUUAUGUAUAGAAGCUAUAGCCAUCAUUAUUCUUAUUGUAGUAAAUCUUGUUAUAGGUGAAUAUACAUUAAAAUAAUCUAAUCCUUCUUUUUGACUAUAUCUUUUGGUCACCAAUUUGGCCUUAUAUAUAUUUAUAUAUAGAACCAUCAGGCUUCAAUUUCUUUUUCAAUAUCCACUUACAGCCUAUAUUUUUACAUUAGGAGGAAGAUUAGUUAAGGACCAGGUAUUAUUACCUUAAUUUUAUAGAUUUUAUCUCAUUAUCCAUUGUUCUUUUCCAUAUAAGUGCAUCUGGCCUAGAUAUAGCAUCAUUAUAGUUCUUAGGAUCAUCUUCUAAAUGAAAAUAGUUCUUAAGAUCAUCAUUAUCCAUUGCAAUCAAAAUAGUUAAAAUGAUGUAAUACUUUCUCAAUAUAAUAUGAUUGGGUCAAGAUUAUUUUACCAUCUUAUCAAAUAACUUUUAUUCCCAAAAUUACAUCCACUGAACCUAUGUCUUUAAUAUAAAAAUUUUGUUUAAGAAAACUUUUUGUUUCUUCAAUAAUUUUUAAAUGUGAACAAAAAAUAAGUAAAUUAUCUAUAUAGAGUGUAGCAACUACUUUACCAUCAUCAGUCACUUUUGAAAAGACAUAAUUUUUAACUAUAUUAUUUUUGAAACCUAAUUUUUUAAUCUCUUCUUUGAAUUUUUUAUACCAUUAUCUAGGUGGUUGUUUAAGACCAUAUAAAGAUUUAUUUAGCUUACAAAUUUUAUUUCUUAACUAAUUUGAAUAUAGCCUUCAGAUUGAUCAAUAAAUUUUUUUAUCAAGACUACCAUUAAGAAAAGCUAUAUUUAUAUUCAUUUGAUGUAUUUCUAAUUUAUGUAUAGAAGCUAUGGCCGUCAUUAUUCAUAUUGUAGUGAGUUUUGUUACAGGUGAAUACACAUCAAAAUAAUCUAAUCCUUCUUUUUGACUAUAUCCUGUGGCCAUCAAUUUGACCUUAUAUAUAUUUAUCUAUAGAACCAUCAAGCUUCAAUUUUUUUUUAAUAUCCACUUAUAGCCUAUAGUUUUUGUAUUAGGAGGAAGAUUAGUUAAGGACCAGAUGUUAUUAUCUUUUAUAAAUUUUAUCUCAUUAUCCAUUAUUCUUUUCCACAUAAAUGCAUCUGGUCUAGAUAUAGUAUCAUUAUAGUUCUUAGGAUCAUCUUCUAGAUGAUAUGUACAAGUAUAUUUAUUUCUGGUCCUGAGUUUUUUUUCAACUCUCUUCCUUUUAAUUCUUAUUCAUUCUAAUUCUCUAUUUUUGAAAAAAAAAUUCUUCUAAAUUUUCAAAAUUUUAUGAAAAAUUUUGUUUAUUUAAAAAUUAUUUUUUUUAUUUGAAACACCUAAUUUUUUUGCAAAAUAUUUUUCUAAAUCUAAUGAACUAGCAUCUUUAAUAGACAAAUAUUCAAAAAUUCAGCAUCAAUUACUUCAAAUAAAGUAAUGAAAUUCAGAUAUAAGGAUCUAUAUGCCUUACUAUUUUGCACAUAACCAAGAAAAAUGGACUUAAUACAUUUAGAACUAAGUUUAGGUCUUCUACAAGAAGUAUCUAGCAUAUAAGCAAUGUAACCUCAAACUUUAAAAUAACUUACAUUAGGUUUCUUAUUUUUUCAUAAUUCAUAUGGUGUUUUAUCCAUAUUUUUAUAUAAUAUGCUAUUACAGAUAUAGCAUGUUAUAUAUAAAGCUUCAUUCCAAAAAAAUAAAGAUAAAUUAGUAUUUAAUAACAUAGCAUUUAUCAUUUCUAUAAGGGUUCUAUUUUUUCUUUCUACUACACUAUUUUAGUUUGGAUGGUAAGAAGCAAUUUUUUGAUAUAUAAUAUCAUGAUUUUUAUAAAAAAAAUAAAAUUUAUUUGAAAAAUAUUCACCUCUUCUAUCACUUUUGAUUUUUUUUAAUUUUUUUUAAUUAUUUUUCCACUUCUGUCUUAUAUAUUUUAAACUUAUUAAAUACUUCAUCUUUAUUUUUUAAUAAGAAAAUAUAGGUAUAUUUUGAAAAGUCAUCAAUAAAUAUAAUAAAAUAUCUUUUUUCUCUUUUAGUUAAUUGAUUAUUAUUAUCACAUAUAUUAGUAUGUAUUAACUCUAAAAUAGUAGUAGAUCUAAUUACAUAUUUAGUAGGCCUUUUAUAUAUUUUAGGUGGAACACAACAUUGAUAUUUUUUAUUUAAUACAAAUUUAUCUAUUUUAGACACUAAUUCAUAUUGAAUCAUUCUAUCUAUAGUUUUUUUAUCUAUAUAAUAUAAUAUAAUAUAUAAUGCGACAUAUUAUGCAUAUUAAAUUAAGCAAUAAAAUCAAUAUCAAGCAAGCAGAAGAUGCAUUAUACUUCAUUAAACUGAGCAAGUAUAUGUUGUACGUCUUUGGCAUAGUCUUUUCCAACAAAGGUCUCUCUUUUAGUAAGGAUUACUUUGUCAGAUUCAAACAUGACAUGAAAGCCAUAAAGGCCAAGUAAAUAUACAGAUAUAAGUCUAGGAGUAUAAUACAUAUAUGUAAGAGUAAGAGUUUUUCCUGAGGAUAGAAGAAGAUUCACUAUUCCAAACCCCACAACCAUACUUGCGACUGAAUUUCUCAUAUAGACGUUGACUUCAUUCUCCAUAGCCUUGUAGGUGGCAAAGGUAUCUUUGUGGUGAGUUACAUGACAAGUAACACCUGAGUCCAGCCAUCAACCAUCAUCCAAAUCAACUAUAAAGGUUGAGAGGACAGUAACAUGAUGAUUAAUAUCACCAAUAAUUGUAGGUUGUUACAUUUUUUCAUAUUGUUGGCCCUUCCUAUGAUGGCACUCUAUUGCAAUAUGUCUAAGUUUUCUACACAUAAAACAUGGACCUUUCUUCUUCUUAUGUUCUUUUUUAUCUUUGAAAUUGUUCCUUGAUUUGUGUAGCUAUUUAUUCUUCUUUUUUUAAGGUUUCUUUUGUAGUUGAUUUUCUGACAUAAGUAUUUUGCCUUCAACAAUAUUAUUUUCUCAUUGUUUCCUUUUUCUUCAAGUUGAUCCCUUUUGCAAGCCUGUUCUUCAAUUUGAAUAUGUUGAAGCAAUUCUUUCAUACAGUAAGAUUCUUUCUUAUGUUUCAACAUAGUAUGAUAUUUUUUUUAAGAAGAUAGUAAUUUACUAAUUAUAGUUGAAACUUGAAAGUUCUCACUCAUAGGCUCACCAAUUGCUGCAAUAUCUUAGGUAAUUUAUUGCAUCUCAUCAAUUUAAUCAACAAUAGAUUUGGAAUCUACCAUAUGAUACUUAAUAUAUUUAUUAAUCAAUAAAGAAUGAUUGUUAGCAUUAUUAUUAGCGUACCUUGCUGAAAUUAUAUUCAUUAAUUUCAAUACCAUGUUGUAAUGUCAAAAUAUAUUAAUUAGUGGAUCAGCCAUUGCAUUUAGAAUCAUCACAUGAUAUAUAUAAUAAUUUUCAAGUCAUUUUAAUUGUUCCAUCGUACAGUCUUGAUUAUUUUCUCGAGAAAAUACUCCUGAUGAAGAGCUAAUCAUUGAAUCCACACUAUGCAUAUGAUUAUUCUCUAUCUUGACUACUAACUGAGUUUUCAUUGAGAUAUGGAGCUUGAAGAACAUAGACUACUUGGUUAAUAGUGAGAUAAUAAUGUAUCUUCAAUAUCCAUCAUUGAAAAGAUGCCUCUUCAAUCCAUUGAAGUUUCUUUAUAUCAGUUGGAAUCUUCACUACUUGGUUUGCCAUUGAAAAAAAAAAUACUAUUUUUAACUUAUUAUGGAAUUGGUGAAGAAAUAAAAUAAAUGGGCAAGGCAUAUCUAUGAUAUUAUCUUAAAGAUAGUAUUUUUUCUGCUAGGAUUGUAAUCCACAAAUAUACAGGCUGCUAUUUGAAAAAUCUACCUUCGUGAUAUAAUGCCUGACUCUAAUAUUCUUCCUCUAAUUCUAUGUACUUAGAGAAAGAUGAAUCAUUUAGAACCAUUGAUAGCCAAAAAAUAAAAAUAUAGUGCAAGUAUAAAAAUAAAAAAAUUGAAUAUCUCUCAUAUUUUCAUAUCAAAUUUAUAAUAAUCCAAAGAAGGUUAUCCAAAAGACAUAUAUUUUGGGAGAACACGUCAUUUUGGAGGAGAGAUCAAAAGAAAGAAAAUUUUUUAGAGUUUUUGAUUUUAAAGAAUCUGAUAACUAUUCAAAAAAAACUAUCAAAAUUGAAACUCUUAUUUCACCCCUAUGUAAUCCUAUAGGCUACAAACCAGCGAAAAAAAAAACUUUCAUUAGAGAAAGAAACAUCCGUUCGGAAUGUUUCAAACCAAGAGCCGUUGCUCUUUUAAACUAUAUCAUUUUUUUAUUUUAAAGAAAAGUAUAAUAUAUUUAACAUACGAUAAAUUUUUCUCCUCUCACCAUAUUUUUCUCACUAUACUUCUAUUUUUGAGCCUAGAACUUUUUUGUAGGUUAUCAAAUCUUUAUAGUGGCAAGAGGCAAUGGAAAAAGAAAUUUCAAUCCUUAAAACAAAUCAUGCUUGAACUGUUACCACUCUAUCUCCUGAAAAAUGACCCAUUGAUUGCAAAUAGGUGUAUAAGAUCUAACACAAAUCUGAUGGUACUGUCGAGUGAUAUAAAGUCAAACUUAUGGUCAAAAAAUUUACAUAGUAGGAAGGCAUUGACUACCAUAAGACCUCUGCCCUAGUUGCCAAACUUAUGAUAGUUUCGUGCUUACUUGCUAUUGCUAAAAUUUAUAAUUAGAAUCUACAUCAAUUUGACAUCAAUAAUACAUUUUUAUAUGUAGAAGUUUUUGAAGAAGUCUAUAUAAAUAUUUCAUCAAGUUAUUCUUGCUCGGGGGAGAAUCAAGUUAGCAAAUUGAACAAGUCAUUAUAUAGCCUCAAAUAAGCUGGCAGAAAUUGGUUUUAGAAGUUCUCUUAAGCCUUAUUUGCUUUAGGCUUCUGUCAAUUCCAUGCUGAUUAUUCUUUUUUCUUUUACAGUCAAGGCAUAUCUCAACUCUUUAUCUUAGUUUAUGUUGAUGAUAUCAUCUUAAUAGGUAAUCAUAUUAUAUCUACUGAUGCACUUAGGUCCUAUCUCCACUCCAAAUUUCAUAUUAAAGAUUUGAGACUCUUGAAAUAUUUUUUCGGUAUUGAGGUUGCUUGAUCUUCCAAGGCAUCUUUCUUUCACAAUGAAAUUAUGCCUUAGAAAUUUUAGAAGAUAUGGAUCUCUUGGGAGCCAAAAAAUUUGAGACCCCUAUGGAACGACAUCUGAAGUUCAUAGACUCUAAUGGUCCAUUUCUUAAUGAUCCUUCUUCUUAAUCACCCUAUUAGCCGACUCAUCUAUCUUAUAGUUAUUCGGCCUAAUAUUAUUUACUUAGUUCAUAUUAUUAGUCAAUUUGUGCAUCAAUCUUGCAAGCCUAAUCUCAAUGCCGCUCUUCACUUUGUGUUAAGAAAAAAAUUUGUAACUAAAAGGUGUUAAGGAAGAUGUUUGCAUAUCCAAAAGGCUUGCUUUCAUUAGCUAUGAUAAUGGGUUUAUAUACACUUCGUAUUAGAUCAUUAUCCCUACAUCGAAGGGAUUGUAUAAGAUUUGAUACAAAGAAAUCUAUAUAAAUAUUUACAAUCUUGAUAUGAGGUAUAUGAUAAAAUUUGAUUAAGGAAUGAAAUAUGUCUUAAUUGCAUAUCUGACCAUAUCAUAGCUAGUCAUAUCUUCUUAGUUUGGUAUCAAGAGAAUCAUGAUAUAAUUUUUAUUAUGGCUGCCCAUGCCUGCAUAAUUUGAUGCUGAGAGAAUCAAGGAGAAUCAAUAUAUGAUUCCUGUUAUAUAAUGGAAACUAUAAGAUUAUACUUAUAUUUAGUUAUCAUAGCAAUUUAUUUUCUAACUAUAAUCGGUAGCAAUUUGGCUUCAACCCAAUAAAAUACAUUCACUUCAAUCAAUCAAAAUCUUUGUUUUCAAUAUUUUUAUAAAAAUGGGCUUAAUUUUACAUGCACAUUUAUAUGAGAAUGUAGGGAUGAAAAUGGAUCAGAUAAUAUUCAUUCAGAUCUAUUUUCGUAUCCAGAUCUAUCCGCAUAUGGAUAGAAAUUUAAAAACUUGACUAACAUCCAUAUCCGAAUCUAUAUCCAUAAAAAAAUAGAUGUGGAUAUGGAUAGACAACUAUUUGAUCUAUAUCCAAAUGUCCAAUUCUAUUUAUAAUUUCAUUUAAUUUUAUAUAGCACUGGUGAACUUUUGAGGAAAAAUAUGACCACAAUAACAUGCUAUUAAUUUGAUUUGCCAUCUAUUUAGUAUCUUUUUAAUUUUAUGACUAUAAAGUUUAAUUAUUCAGCUUUUAUCCAUAUUUAUAUCCAUAUAUUUAGCAUCAGACUUGUAUCGAUAUCCAUUUAAAAUAAAUAUGGAUAUAAUUUUUUGCAUACGACUAAUAUUUGUACUCAUAUUUGUAUUCGUCAAAUAAAAUAGAUAUAGAUAUAGAUAUAUUGAUACCUGAUUCAUAUUUAAUCUAAUUUCAGCCCUAUGAGAAUGGGAUUCAAAAUUAUGAUCUUACUACACAAAGACUAAAAGUUGUAGAAAAGUAUCAUUGUCCAGACAAAAGCACCAGUCCAUGACACUAUAAUUUCAUAUUAGCCAAAUUAUUGCUUGACUCAAUAGUCUAUAAAGAUAUUUUAAUCACUUAGAAUCUAUUUGGAUAUUCCUUCAGAAGUCCGGGAAAAGGAGAGGAUGUAGAGGGAAGAAACGAAGGGAGGAAAGGUAUAUGUAUGUAUGUGUGUGUGUGUGUAUAGAGAGAGAGAGAGGUUGGAGGAUCAACUAACAAGGAAGAAAAGAUGUCUAUGAAGGAAAAGAAAAAAAACAAAGAACCAAUGGAGGUCUUUUUUUUUGUGCAGCCAUGAUAGGAUUCAUGCCAGAGGUAUUUAAUUGAUAUAGGCCAGUCAAAUAAGCUGUCCAAUCCAUGAAACAAAUAAAAAAAAGGAUCCAUGGAGAUUUUUUUUCUUGCAGGAUUCGGGCCAGAGGUGUUCGGUUGGUAUGGGCUACCCCAAACAAGCUGUCCAAUCCAUGAAACUAAUAGAAAAUUCCAUCAAAUCUUAUGAAUCCUACUGGAUCAUCCAACAGGUGCUUACUGGGAUCUAAAGCCUCAAGCUAACUAGGAAUACCGAGUCUUUAUCAAAAGCUAGGGAGAGUUGAUACAAUUAGGCCUCUCCACUAUGAGACACAAAAGAAAAUAAGCAAAAUGAUCAACCCAUGCACAUGGAGCCUACCUAGUGAACCCCUGAUUAAGUGUUCAUUCCACUAAGGUGUGCAUUUUCAUAAUUUGUUUCCUUGAUUUCAACAAGUUAUAAUUGGUUGUAUCAUUGGAAUAUGUUUACAAAUUUAAGUCUUCAAAUUAGGCUUAUGUACUCCAUGCAUUUCCAUGCAUUAAUAUUUGCAUAACAUGAAUAAAAGAAGAUUAUUUUUCUUUUUAAUCUAUUUGUCAUACAAACGUAAAGUGUUUGAAUCACUUGUUCAACUUAUAUGACUCAUAUUCAUUUGAUAUAUAUUUCAUAGGUUAUUUUCUAAAAGUGGAUAGUUUUGCAAAAAUCCUAAAAUCUAAAAAGCCAUUAAUAAGCAAAUUAGGACAAUUGUAGUUGAUGACAAAUUUGUUAUAAAGAAUUGAUUUCUUUAGCUAGAGAAAAUAAUCAUAUAUCUUAAUUAAUUAUAGGAUUUUAUAUAUUUAUUUGUAUGUAAAUGAUUGUGAUUAAGAUAUAUAUUGAUUAACUAACAAUUGUGCCCCUCCUCCGGCCUAGCAUGUGAAAAUCUUUGCUUUGUCUAUGAUGUCAUGUAGAAAAAUCUUUAAAGAAUUCUUUCUCUCUUCUUAAAUAUAAAACAUCGUACUAAAACAAAUGAUAAUUGCAAUUCAUCACCCUUUUAGAAAUUAUAAGUAAUUUGCGAAAACAUAAAUAUCAAUUUGAGGUGGUCAAAUUUUACUAAAACUCAAUAAUGUUGUGGAAUUUUGGUCUGUGCUCUAUGCUUCUUCCACACAAAUUCUCUAUUUACCAUCAAAUGAGGUUAGAUGGAAAUCAUGGACCUAAAGUCCAUUGUUCCAAGUCUAGAGUGAGAAAAGAACGUUAAAAGUUCCAUGGGGGGAGGGAGUGGAAAGAGAAAGAAACCAUAGACUGUGAGGGUAGGGAUCCCAUUAUCAAUAAGCGUAGGUGGGACUUUGAUAGAGGUCCAACUAUAGAAAUUGGGGAAAGAAGAUUUGUGCAUGUUGAAAAUAACACCAUAUUGAGGUUUGAGCUAGGAGCAAACAAUUAGCACUAAUGCACCAUAAAUGACCCAAGAAGCUUAAAUUGAAGACCAAGCAUGAUUGUGUGAUGACUGCCUCAACAAAUCCAAUGUUUGUAGCAUUAAAAUGAGUUAUAGAUGCUAGCAACUUUAAAUUUUUAUUGAAAAUAGAAAAGAUAGUAUUUCGGCUGAUAAAAUUUUCCAUCACACAAUCGUGUCAAUCAAAGAUUUUUUUUUUUUUGGUUACACAUGUCAAUCAAAGGUUUUUUUUUUGGUAGAAUGUCAAUCAAAGGUUUGACAACAAAGUUAUAGCCAAAUUUUAGCGACUUGUCAUCAAUGGGGAAGUUCCCAUUAUUUAUGAAAAUGCCACUCCUCCGCCAUUAAAAUAAUUAAGGAUGAUUUUUCUUAUAUUUUUAGUUAGUUUUUUGUUUCUUUAGAAAUACAUCAAAGAAGUUAGAAGUCCUGCUAGACUUAGAAAACUUUAUUUUUUCCUUAGAUUAAUUGUAUCUUGCGAGAAUUAGGAAAGGUUAUGGGUCUUAGAACACUUCUACUUUAAAAAUGAUAUGAACUCCUUUCAAAUGACUAAAAGUUUUGAAUCUUUCUUGCAAGUGUUCUUGAUAUUGUAACUCUACCAUAACAACUUUAUAGCAACUUUUAUGCAACUCAAAAGCUAUUCUUUUUCUGGUGCCACACUAAAAGGCUCUACAUAAAGUAGUACGAUCUCGAUAGGGAUAUGAGAUUGGUACGAUUUGAGUGGAUCAAAAGAUUUGGUUGGUGAGAAUCCAAUUAGCUAUCAUAGCUUAAUUUACUUUCUCGUUAUUUUGGCUACUUUGGUUAACUUUUUGCUAUCUAAUUAUAUUUUUAUAGAUAUACUUCCUUUACUUCUUGCUUUCUGGUUAUCGUUUAGCUAGAUCAAGUUUUCGAGUUUGAAUUACUUUUCUGAUUAUUUUCUAAUUUUCUUACUUCAAUGAUUAUUGUAAAAUUUAAAAAAAUAUAUAUUUAUUUAUUUAUUUUUAUUAGAAGACUCUAAUUUUCUUAGGUAGGAGAGGCCUUAUUAAGGUUGUAAUGAAUUUAUUCUAGCAGUCCACCCCUAGGGUGAUUUAUUACUCAUAGGCAUCUUUAAGAUAAUUCUCCUACAACUCAAAUUAGGUCAACUUUUUUAUCCCUACAGAUGACCUCACGCAGUCAGAUCCCCAAUUCCCACAGACAUCAGUUUGUGCCAGGAAGUGAAGUAUGCUGCCCACCACAUAGAUAUAGAUGUGAUUGGACAAAUCCUAAGAAUUCCUGUGGACAGUUAACAGUGUAGGAUGUCAAAUCCUAUACCCUUUUCCUUUUGGUUUUUGUGGCACUAUUCUGAAAGGGUACAUGAAAGCAUAGUGGCCUGGGUGGGGUUGAUAGGCUUGAAAGUGGAGCAUGCACAGCAUACAAGUGAAUGAUAUGGGGCUUAUUGGGUGAUUGUACAAGCAGGAGUUUUUUCUUUAAGUAUAGUGGAUUAUUUAUUAUAUAUGAAUAAUAUUCCAAUAUAAUCUAUGUUAUAUGUGGACAUGAUAUAUUACAUGCUAAUAAUUGGUAUGAGAAUAUAAACUAACACCAUUUAAUUACAUAUUGUAGAGAUGUUAUAUAAUUAAAAAAUGAUUAUAUAAUAAUAUAUUGGAAUUAAAUAUUAUUAUAUUUUGUUGAUUUCUUAUUAUAUUAUAAUAUAUAAGCUAUAACAUAUUAAUAUAUCAUAUAAUAUAACAAUAUUUUAAUUAUGUAUAGUUGAUAUCACUAAAAUAUUGUUAGUAUUAAUUUUUCAUUAUCUUAUAAUAAUAUUAUGUCAUAUAUUAUAUAAAAGCCGGAAUAUGUUAUUCAAGAUGUUAACUUGACGAGAUUUGCUUUGUUAAAUCGGAAUUUCGAUUAUCCAAAUAUAGAAAUUGGGUUAAAUUAUUCAUGAUGAUUCCCAAUAAUAGAUAUUCUGGGAGUGAGAAAACCACUCCUAAUCUCCAAUCCUAAUAAACAAACAUGGUAAUGAAUGAAGCUUUCUAAAUUGCUUAGAUAGAUUUGAUGACUACUCAAGCUACAUAGGAGUGAUAUUAGGAGGCAUUUGAAAGAUGGAGAUGGUAGAGAAAGUUAAUGCUAAAGGGCAUCCACUCAAGGAGGCAAACAGAGCUCGAGAUUGGGUGGCGUCAUAUGUUAUAAAUUAUUCUGAUGACACUCUAUAGAUGAAUUUUUCUGCCAUUCCUUCUUAAUUCAAAGUUAUUUUAUUUUCUAAUUUUAUUAGAUGUAUCUAUACUGGACAUGUAUGACGCAUCUAUUUUAUCAAAAAAGAGGGCAAACAUGAAAACUGCUUUAUCUUUAAACCACUUUGUUGUUAUUUUUUAGAAGCCAAUGUGUGAUAGCCCAACCAAGCCCCGCCCAGCCAGCAGAUCAAAGCCCAAAAUAAAAAAAUAAAAAAAAUAAAAACAGGGGAUGCAAAACCGGGAAGAAGACUCCCGAUAGGAGUCUUCUUCUCCGGCGAAACCCAGGCAAAAUCAGACUCCUAAGAUCCCUAGGAGUCCUAGGAUUUCCUAUAAGAAGACCCCCUCUCUUUAGAAUCGAUCCAUCGACUCUUUUCCCUCUCUCCUUCUCUCCGAUUUCCUCGAAUUAGAGCCGCGGACACCGUCCGAUUUCUCGCCGUAAUUGCUUGCCGGCGAGGUCUCCGGAGGCUGAGGUGAGUCUCCUUCUUCUUUCCCUCCUUCUUCUCCUUUCUCCCAUGCUCCUAUGCACGGCUGCCGGCGAUGAGUAUCGCCGAUCUUUCGGUCGGGAAAGAUGCCCUGUUUUUGGGCCUUUUUCCUUGGAUUUUCCGGCACCGGCGAUCGGAAGUGAUCGCCGGCCAUGUCUCCUCCGUGACCGGGGGAGUGGCCCCCGUCGGCCGUCGGCCUCCGCCGCGGCGGCCAUGGCCCAAACGGCCGAUCAAGGCCGGAGGACCAAGAGUCCUCUGUUCCGGCACGGGAAGAACCAAGAAAAGAAGAAAAAGAAGAAAAAGAACAAANNNNNNNNNNNNNNNNNNNNNNNNNNNNNNNNNNNNNNNNNNNNNNNNNNNNNNNNNNNNNNNNNNNNNNNNNNNNNNNNNNNNNNNNNNNNNNNNNNNNNNNNNNNNNNNNNNNNNNNNNNNNNNNNNNNNNNNNNNNNNNNNNNNNNNNNNNNNNNNNNNNNNNNNNNNNNNNNNNNNNNNNNNNNNNNNNNNNNNNNNNNNNNNNNNNNNNNNNNNNNNNNNNNNNNNNNNNNNNNNNNNNNNNNNNNNNNNNNNNNNNNNNNNNNNNNNNNNNNNNNNNNNNNNNNNNNNNNNNNNNNNNNNNNNNNNNNNNNNNNNNNNNNNNNNNNNNNNNNNNNNNNNNNNNNNNNNNNNNNNNNNNNNNNNNNNNNNNNNNNNNNNNNNNNNNNNNNNNNNNNNNNNNNNNNNNNNNNNNNNNNNNNNNNNNNNNNNNNNNNNNNNNNNNNNNNNNNNNNNNNNNNNNNNNNNNNNNNNNNNNNNNNNNNNNNNNNNNNNNNNNNNNNNNNNNNNNNNNNNNNNNNNNNNNNNNNNNNNNNNNNNNNNNNNNNNNNNNNNNNNNNNNNNNNNNNNNNNNNNNNNNNNNNNNNNNNNNNNNNNNNNNNNNNNNNNNNNNNNNNNNNNNNNNNNNNNNNNNNNNNNNNNNNNNNNNNNNNNNNNNNNNNNNNNNNNNNNNNNNNNNNNNNNNNNNNNNNNNNNNNNNNNNNNNNNNNNNNNNNNNNNNNNNNNNNNNNNNNNNNNNNNNNNNNNNNNNNNNNNNNNNNNNNNNNNNNNNNNNNNNNNNNNNNNNNNNNNNNNNNNNNNNNNNNNNNNNNNNNNNNNNNNNNNNNNNNNNNNNNNNNNNNNNNNNNNNNNNNNNNNNNNNNNNNNNNNNNNNNNNNNNNNNNNNNNNNNNNNNNNNNNNNNNNNNNNNNNNNNNNNNNNNNNNNNNNNNNNNNNNNNNNNNNNNNNNNNNNNNNNNNNNNNNNNNNNNNNNNNNNNNNNNNNNNNNNNNNNNNNNNNNNNNNNNNNNNNNNNNNNNNNNNNNNNNNNNNNNNNNNNNNNNNNNNNNNNNNNNNNNNNNNNNNNNNNNNNNNNNNNNNNNNNNNNNNNNNNNNNNNNNNNNNNNNNNNNNNNNNNNNNNNNNNNNNNNNNNNNNNNNNNNNNNNNNNNNNNNNNNNNNNNNNNNNNNNNNNNNNNNNNNNNNNNNNNNNNNNGGAUUUAUGAUUAUAUUAUAUGUGAAUAUUUGAAAAUAUUGGAUUUGCAUUAAAUCAGCAUGAAAUAUAUUUUUAUGUUUAAUUGCAGCAUUAUUCUUGAAAAUUAAAAAAUAUCUGGUAGAGAUAUUUGUUACUUACUGGGCUGUCUAGCUCAUUAACUUUCCUUCUAUUUUUCAGAUUCAGAUAAUUAAUUUCGAGCGUGGGAAGAAAUAUUGGGACAGAGCUUUUAGAGGCGAGAUUUAGCAUUGUCAACUUCAUUGAACUUAGAUCUAAUAUUUUAUUUUUAGCAAAAAUUUUAUUGGAUGUAAGACAUUUGAUUUAAUUAUAUUGAAUUACAGUUGAAUAAUAAUUAUUUGAAUUUAUUCCGCUGUGAUGCAUUGAUAUCGUGAUGAGAUGCCUUGCAUGCUUAUGGAGAGAGUUCUUCAUAAGUAUGCGGCAGUUGCCAUGAUCCUCGAUUCACAAUCUCGGGUCGGGGGCGUGACACAAUGUUUUCAGUCCUUGCUCUCAAAGCUCUUAACAAGUUUGCGAGAGGAAUAGCUUCUCAUAUACAUACAUACUGUAGAUAUGAAAUGAUACAAGUUUAGUAGUUUGACAGUGUUCUUCUUACAAUAACAAUCAGCCGGCUGUUGCAGUUGCACAGAUUCCAUCAGUUUGUUCCUCAUAAAUCCCUGCCAAUUCACCCUUCUAAGCAUCCAAGCUGAUGCUAUUGAUGUCGAGGCACCUCAUACUUGCACUAUGGAUUGUCAGAUCAUCUGUCUCUAAAUGAAAUCUUUGCAACCGAACACCAUCAAUGCUAAAACUAUUGGAUUCUCCGCUUGCUAUCGAUCUAGAUGGACCCCCUGAUGGUUGAUUUUGAGCCAAGGAUGUGGAACCUAGUGCCUCCUCUAGCUCUCGCACAACUUGGCUCAUGGUAGGUCGAUCCUUGGGCUCAUCGAUGACACAUCUGAGGCCUAAUUGACCCAUCUUGAGCAUCAUCUCCAUGCUGCAUGCUUCGAGUAGUAAAUUGGUAUCUAUUAUCUCUUGAACAUUACCUCUCUCUAUGCUAGGCCUUGCCUAUGUAAUAAAGAGCAAUAACAAAUUAGAAGUUUGCAUAUCAUUUUAAAAGAAUAAGUUCAUCCUUUUUUUUUUUCCUACAGUUAAAAGGAAAUGCUGUUUUAGACACAGCAAUCUUGUUAUCUAUCACAAUCUUAUGCUUGGUCUAUAUAUGCAGGAUAUAAACUUUGAGAUCACUCACCCAAUCAAUGAUAUGAUAUUGAGAUUGUGGCCUUGAGAGAUCAACUGCAGGUCUUGCAGCCACAAGUUGCAAGAGUAUGACUCCAAAGCCAUAGACAUCACUAGAAGGAGUCAAGUGAAAGCUGGAGCAGUAGGCUGGAUCAAGGUAGCCAGGUGUUCCCUUGAUCUGGCUGCUAACAUGGGAUUCAUCGCCGUCCGGGCCUGAUUUCACCAACCCGAAAUCUGAAACCUUGGCUUCAAACCCAUCAUCCACCAAUAUGUUGCUUGGCUUGAUGUCCCUGUGAAUUAUGCUCGGAUGGACGCCUUCAUGAAGAUGAGCUAUGCCUAUCAAGACCAUUUUCCUCCCUUUACCUAUCAAAUAAAUGGUGAUUGGUGAUUGGUAUCUCAGAGCUUAUAUGACCUACCUUUUGCUGCUCCAAUGGCUAUGUUCACUCUUUGCCUCCAAGUCAACAUCUUCCUUCUCCUUCCUACAAAAGUCAUUGGUUUCUUCACAUGAGUACUUUGAAGUGUGAAAACCAAAAUAUUUAUGAUUUUCCAAAUGAGAAAUGAAAGCAAACACAAUCUCACCAGCUAUAUAUUCAAGUAGAGAACCAUGGGGAACAUAUUCAUAAACCACUAUCUUUUGAUCUGCAUGAUGGAAAUAGAGUAGGGGCACAGAAAGCUUUUAGCUGAGGAAGGAAUACAAAAGAAUUUGGUAAGCUUUAUGGUUUUGAGCUUCUAAAGGCUUUAUGAUUUCAAGUGCCAACUGUGUACUCUUUAGUUUCAAAAGUUUUGAUUGGAGUAGAGAAAAAAUAAAAUUGGUACAUCAGUUUUUGGUUGGAAUGAUGUGUGGCAUAUCAAUUGGCUAAGAUUUGAUUGGAAACUUUUGCCUUCACCAAAAAUUGAAAGGAAGAAAUUCUAACUUUGAUGUCUGAGGAGAUAUUGAAAACUGAGCGCUAUAUCUUUAACAAAAUCUGCAGGUAACCUUAUUGAGAUCUAGUUUACUUGCAGGCUUCAGUUCGUACCUGCUUCUUCACAAUAGCCAACCAAACCAACAAGAUUCCUGUGCUUUACUCUUGAAAGCAGCUCCACCUCUGUUCCAAUGACAUAUCUCUUUAUCAGCAGAAUAUUAUCGUUGAAAUUAAAGAUCGACAAUAAAUUUAUCCUACUUGCAUUCAGUUUUCCAAGACAUAAAUGGAACUACAAUACCAUUUCUGAAUUCUUGAAUACUUUGAUAUGAAUCAGCAUGUGGUUUCUUGACAGCAAGAGCUCCUUCAGCAUCAAAAAUGCCCUUGUACACAUCCCCGAAGGCACCCGAUCCAAUCAAGCACUCAUCACUAAAUGACUUGGUGGCCUUCUCUAGUUCGACAAGAUGGAACCGCCUUAGUUGUACCUUUUCCUGGCUACCAUCUGCAAAAAUUUGUAUCAAAUUAACAUAAGGAUGAUAUUAAGCACUACCACUCUUCAUACAAUGUCAAAUAAUAAGGGAGGGAUACCCUCAUCACAUCUAGAAGCAUUAUUCUUCUUGUUUCGCUUGAAGUAGCACCUCUUGUUGCAGAAGUAUACACAAAAGCCAGUUAAUAAAACUGCUACACCUGCAACAAAUGCCACCCACAGUUGAAUACUAGGAAAUCUAGCUGUGCCUUGGGCAACAUUUGAGAAGGCCGGCAGGGGUGAAGCCAUGGGAGACAAGUAGUGAAGUGUCAUGGUGCCCUUCAUGAGAUGUUGAUGGCACCCUGUUCUCAUCUUUUCCCUCAAUAUUCCUUCAAAUUUUUCCAUUGUUGACUUUGUUUCUAUCCUUCUUUGGAGUAAUUAGAGAAUAAGAAGCAGGAGAAUGGUGGUGGAACACAAGGAACCAGGGAAGAGUGUCUAAUCUAUUGCAUGGUGAAAGCAUCCAGAAGGCAGUGUCACAGGUCGUUGCUGGCCAUUUGAGUACGUUGAUUAGAGUCAAGAUGUAGACUCGGUCCCUUCCUAGGACGGCACAUAAGCCAGUAGACUAGAGUAAUUAACUAUGUGGUGAUCAAAGUAAUCACUACUUUUAUAUCCUAAUUAUGCUAUCUUUGAAUUAAAAACUGAGGAAUGAUAGGCCAAAGAGGAAAUAAAGUGGUAAACUGAAAUCUGGUUAUUGGACAAGAGCUACAUUCUGUAAAUGUGAUUAGAAUGGAGGGUUCAUAGGGACCAGGGAAGGGAACGCUCAUUUUCAUGUAAUCUAUUAGAAAGAAAGCAAUCCUCUAACAAUGAGAAUGGUAUGCUUUUCUUCUUUCUUUUGAUUAUUUUACUAUUUAUUGGGAGCUUCAUGACAUCAAAUCAUGUCGUCUUCUUCUUGUCUCUUGUAUCAUUUUAGUAAUUUAUUGCAUAAUUUUGUAUUCUCCCUCAUGUUUUGAACUCGAAGUCUUUCUGAGGCCUACCAGUUCAAUUCUUAAAAAUUAUAGAGAAUGGAGCAAUAAACUAUAGGAAAUAGAAUGUGAAUUAGGGAAGAGAUAAGCAGGUGGUAUUAAAGAGGUACUUUAUUUAGCAGGCCAGAAGUACAUUGGAUAUUGGAAUCCAUCAUUUAAAUAGCUCAGUUUUUCUUUUAGUGGAAGUUGUUGAUGAUUUUAACUCAAAAUUAAUAACUAUACAAGCAUCAUCUCCAACGCAUUACCCCAAGUAUACAGGUGUUGGCUAUGCUCUAUGCAUGGGCUAGAAGAGCUAGGGAUAGAAAUAUAACUUGGAAAGUUAGACAUACUUAGCAAGAGGAAGUUUCAGAUGCAAGAAGUGAAAGGGGUCAUUGGGAUUGCAUUGUUUGAAUAGACCUGCUUAUCCUAGUAACUUGAACUCAUUAGCUUAUAAUCCAAAGCUAAUUUUUGAGAAACCCAAACUUAGGCUGGCUAGAGUAAUUAAUUAAAUGUAAAGUCCACAAAAGCUAGAAAAAUACAUUAUAUUAUAGUUCUAACAUUUUUUCUUUUUACUUUAUUUGAAUAGAAAUAAUAAUUUUUUAGUACACAUGGUGGUCUGCCUUCUUGAAAAAGGGGAUUUUCUCAAUAUUUAUGGAUUUGCAGCAUAGGAGGAAGAAAUUUUAAUAAAUUCGAAAUACCCUUUACAAUGGCUAGACGCACUCAUUUAUCAUUAUCAGAUCCCUUAAACCUUUCUACAAAUAUAUUCAUAUUUUCUUUUAUUGUAAAUAAUUAAAAGGAUUAUUCUUUAUAAAUAUACCUCUUGAUAAGAUCUAUAACUCCACUUGAUGUUAGAUUACCGGAUAAAAUCACUAUGAUUAUUUUUUAAUACGUAAUUUGGUAAAUUUUAAGAGGCCCAAAUAUGAGAGGCCAUAUUAUAAGACAAGACUUAGACUUAAAUAAUUUGCCCUCUCUAGAAAAUAGACAAGUCUUAACAUCUUAUGUUCUCUCUCUCUCUCUAUAAAUUAUCCUAGACUCUCUCUCUCUCUCUCUCUCUAUAUAUAUAUAUAUAUAUAUAUAUAUAUAUAUAUAUAUANNNNNNNNNNNNNNNNNNNNNNNNNAUAUAUAUAUAUUCAAACUUUAAGGUAAUCCAUACAUUUUCUUUUAUUAUCAUAGAAUUUUUGAUAAAUGGAUUUUUUCUAAUAAUAGUAGAAUGCUACAAAAAAGAAAUAUUUUUUUUACUAUAUAAUCUUAAUAAAAUCUUAAAUAAUCGUUUUCAAUUCUAAAACAUAUGAAACUUCAAAAGUUAUAAGUUAUUUCUCAUGCAAGUAUUAUUACUAAAAAUAAUUACUUUUUUUUAGUGACGAAAGAAGCUUUCGUUUUGGGUUAUUAUAAAAUAUAACAUCACAGCAUACUUUUUUCUCAUAUUGAUAUUAUUUUACUAUUAACUGGGAGCCUCAUGGCAUCAGAUCAUAUCUUUUUCUUCUUGUCUCUUGCAUCAUUUUGUUUUGUUGCAUAAUUUUGUAUUCUUCCCAUUGUUUUGGACUUGAAGUCUUUCUUAGGCCUAUCAAUUGGACUCUUAAAAGUCAUAAAGAAUCAAGAAAUAAAAUGUAGGAAAUAGAAUAUGAAUCAAGGAAGAGAUAAGCAAGGGAUAUCAAAAGAGCCAUUUUAUUUAGCAGGCUAAAAGUAUAUUCGAUACUAGAAUUUACCAUUUAAAUAGCUUGAUUUUUCUUUAAGCAGAAAUUGUUGAAAGUUUUGAUUCAAAAUCAAUAACUAUAUGAGCACCCACCCCGACACAUUAUCUCACAUAUAGGGGUGUUGGUUGUAUUCCAUGUGUGGGCUAGAAGAAUUAGGGCUAGAAAUAUAAAUUGACAAGUUAGACAUGAUUGGCAAAAUGAGGUUGAGGAUAUAAGAAAUGAGAGGGAUUAUUGAGAUUGCAUUGCAUUGUUUUAAUAGGUUUCAUUGUACUAGCUAGUAACUUGAACUCAUGGGUCUAUAAUCCAAAGCUUAUUUUUGAGACACCCAAAUUUAGGCUAGCUUGAGUAAUUAAUUAAUUGUAAAGUCUACAAAAGCUAGAAAAAUAAUUUUUUUAUAAUUUUUAUUUUUUUCUUUUUUAUUUUAUGUUGAUAGAAAUAAUAACUUAAUUAGUACAUGAUAUAGUAAUCUUUCUACCUGAAAAAGAAGAUUUUUAAAUAAUGAAGUUGUUAGAUAGGAGGAAGAAUCAACAAGCACUCUCAUAAAUAUUGAAGAAUGAACUAAAAAUUUCAAUAAAUUCUAAAUACUCUUUACAGUGUCUAGAGAUUCUUAUUUAUUGUUGUUAGAUCGAUCCCUUGAAGUUUCUACAAAUAUAUCCAUAUUUAUUUCUUGCAAAUGAGGAAAAAAGUAUAUUCUUUAUAAUAUGCCUCUUAAUAAGAUCUAUGACUCAUCUUAAUGUUAGUUGACCGGACGAGAUCUCCGUGACUAUGUUCUAAUAUGUAAUUUGGCAAAUUUUAAAGAUCCGGAUAUAAGAGUCCACGUUGCAAGACAAAUCUUAAAUUUAACUAAUUUGUCCUCCCAAAAAAAUUGACAAGUCUUGACAUCUUAUAUUCUUUGUCUUACACACACCUAUAUAAAAUCAUCAUGGACUCUCUCUCUCUCUCUUCAAACUUUAAGGUAAUCCAUAUAUCUUCUUUUAUUAUCAUAGAAUUUUUGGUAAAUAGAUUAUUUUUCUAGUAUUAUCAGAAUGCUAUAAAAUAAGAAAUGUCUUUUUACUAUAUAAUCUUAAAACAUCUCAAAUGAUUGUCUUCUAUUCCAAAACAUAUGGAACUUCAAAAGUUAUAUGUUAUUUUUCAUGCAAAUAUUAUUCUUUAAAAAUAAUUAUUUUUCAUUAGCCACGAAAGAAGCGUACAUUAAGUUAUGGUUUAAUAAUUAUAAAAAUAUAACAUCAUAGUACUUUUUUGUCUCCUAUUAAUAUUACUUUGCUGUUAAUUGGGAGCCUCAUGACUUUAAAUCAUGUCUUGUUCUUCUUGUCUCUAAUAUCAUUUUGGUUUAUUGCAUAAUUUUGUAUUCUCCCUGGUGUUUUGGACUUGAAGCCUUUCUUAGGCCUAUCAAUUGGAUUCUAAAAAGUCAUAGAGAAUGGAGAAACAAAAUGUAGGAAAUAGAAUAUGAAUCAAGUAACAGAUAAGCAGGAGACAUUAAAGUUGUACUUUAUUUAGCAAGCCAAAAGCAUACUGAAUACUAGAAUUUAUCAUUUAAAUAGCUUAGUUUUUCUUUUAGCAGAAAUUGUUGAAGGUUCUGAUUCAAAAUCAAUAACCACACAAGUACCCUCUCUGGCACAUUAUUCCAUAUAUAGAGGCGUUGGUUGUGCUCUAUGCGUGGGCUGAAAGAGUUAGGGCUAGAAAAUAUAGCUUGGCAAGUUAGACAUGAACUGUACCAAUGGGCUUGCCUAUCCUUGUUACUUGAACUCAAUGAGCUAGCUAGAGUAAUUAGUUAAUCAUAUUGUUCUUGGACAUAAGUAUCCCUUCCCAAGUUGCUCUAAAUUUAGCUUCUAAGACAGAAGAUGCUAAGAAUCUCUUUGCUCCAACAAAUAAAACAUAGCCCGUAUGGUUUUUAAUUAUAAAUCCAACUCCUACCUUAUUGAGUUGUCUGUAGUUUUGACCAUGACAUUUUGGAAAAAUUAUUGGUUGGACAUGAUUCAUGGUGGACCAUACAUAAUUCAUUAGUUAGAAGGAGGAAAAAGACGUUAAAUACAUGGUCGGCAUGUUGUUAAGAAUUGGAAAAAUGAUUGAAUUAUUCAUAAUCCACCAUGAACCUGGUCCAACCUAUAAUUUUCCGACAUUUUGCCGCACGCUACGAGCUCAGCAGGGGGUGUCAAUGGCAAAGCUAUGCUUGGAUAGGGAAAGAAGGAUGUGCGAAUCCACCAUUGGAUCACCAGCUGCACAGAUCACAAAGUUGACCCGUGGGUGAUCCAACGGUGGAUCAGCUCGAUGAGAGGUGAAUCCUCCGCAUUUCGCGCGAAAAGAUACAAACCCAACCCGCCUGGCCUCCGUAGUAUCGCAGAAAUCACGUACGUAACGCGGCAUGCCCAGCUACGUAACGCCGGACGCCGCCGAUUAAUAGUUAAUACAACUCUGGUACGUUCCAAUAUUAGGCUUCCCGAAAUUAGGAAAUAUUUGCCAGAAGCCAGGUCUACACCGUUCGCGAGCACCAUCCGACGGUCCUUGUUCGUUUCCGUGGCACGGCCAUCCGGAAAUAGACGGCAACAGAAUCGACGAACGUAAGCAAAGCUGCGAGAGAGACGGAGAGAGGUGGGGAGGAGAUGAUCGAUUGGUUUGAGGUAGUGUUCUUGGGUCUGAUGGUGUUGUGCGCGGGGAUUGGUGUGGUGUUCUGCGUGCACUUGCGGCUGCUGUUGGGCGAUGGUGUGUGGGAGGAGGUGAGAGGUUUGACGGAGGAGGAGGUGAAGGAGCUGGAGGAGGGGAAGGUUGGGGCGGCGGACGGGGCGGAGUGCGCGGUGUGCCUGGAGGAGAUGGUGGAAGGGGAGGUGGCGCGGGUGCUGCCGGGGUGCCGCCACGCCUUCCACGGCCCCUGCGUCGACAACUGGCUCCGACUCCGCUCCGCCUGCCCCCUCUGCAGAGCUCGCCUCCUCCCUCUUCUCUCUCAACCCAAAUCCCAACUUCAACUCCCUUCUUCUUCUUCUUCUUGUUUCCAAUGUUAAUUCUCUUUCAAUCACUAGACCACUUACCUCCAACUAAAAAAAAAAACACUAGAUUACCGAUGUAUAUUUGUUAUAAUUAUUAAUUGGAGAAUUAGUGGAGGAGUUUUCCUUAGUUGAAUGAUUUGUUAUAUAUAUUUUCCAUUCUCUGUGGAGGAUGGAAGUUGGGCAACAAGUCAUACUGAGUGCAACCGGGGGUUGUGAUAUUUUGGGUUCCUGGAGAAAUAUGGAUCCUCUUCGGUUUCAUGGUUUAUACUUCUCCUUACGUAAUAUUUUUUGAGUUAAAAGAAUUGAAGAGAGUAUUUGGUUUGAGAAGGUGGAGAUCUAAAAUCAAAAUCAGAAUGGAUGAUUCUCAUUCUAACCAUUUAGUUGGAAGAAAUCUCAUUUCGAUUUCGAUUUCAGAGUAGAAUGAAACGACUCAACUUAUAUAGAACUCAAUCCUUACUCUCCCGUGUGAAUUCAAAUUUCUAUUCGAAUUCCGAUUCCGAUUUUGAUUCUAGUUACGAACCUAAUACUUCAGAGAAUUUGAUCAUUCCGACUCCGAUUCCAAACUAUUUCGAUUCUUAUUUCUAUUUCGAUUUCGAUUACGAAUCAAACACCUCCAAAAUAUUUAUCGGAGGGAAGAGAGCUUUGUUUCUUAGAGUGUCAGGCUGCAUGCAGAAACAUCCCGUGGGAGUAGUUCAGAUUCCCAAACUUGAGCGGUUGGUGUUUGUGCUGUUGAGUUGGCUGAUUUGGAAAACCGUGGAUAAAGCUAGCUGCAAAGGAGAACGAGAGGCAUUUGAAGCGCAUGUGCUAUAAAUCAAGCUGUAAUGAUCUUUCUGUGUAUUGAUAUAUGUGUUAUGAUUGAAGCCAGUUUAAAUGCCUAAUUUCAACCAUUGUGAGGGCUGUGAGUGCUCAAUGGCACCAAUAAUUGCUUCUCGUAACAGAUAUUUAGCAAUUAUCAAGAUAUACAUUGGGAUGCUGCAUUGUUGAUUAAGGCAACAAAAGGUCGACUCUAAUUUCUAGUCUCAGAGGCUUAUGGUUUUGAUUACCAAAGUUCUGGUUUUGAAUUGCUAGCUCAACUGAUUCGAACUUUGACAAAUUCCAACCAUAUUUCAUCGCUGGAAGCAGAGGAAAAGCAUCUGUGAAGACAUCUUUGGAUGCCGCAAUUGUUGAUUAAGACAAUAAGAGUUUGGUCCGUGAUCUGAAUUCAAAUCAAGAUUGAAAUCGGAAUAAAUUUGAAUGAGAAUUAGAAUAGCUAUAUCCCCUGAAGUAUUUGGUUCAUGUUCGGAAUCGAAAUUAGAAUGAAGAUUUUUGAAUCUUUAGGAAAAGAUCAAGACUCUAUUUUAAAGGAUUCAGCUAUUCUCAUUUCGUCCCAGAAUUGAAAUUGGAAUAGAACUCUCUCCAAUUAAAUAAUUUGGAUGGGAGUCAUCCAUUCCCAUUCUUAUUCCAGGCCCCAACUCCUCCCAUCCAAAAGCUCCCUUAGAAGCUUAUGGCGUAAUUGGUGUUGGAAGGCAAUUAACUACAAAUAGAUUGCUAUCUGAAUGAAUUUUCUCCUAGAAAAUCAAACAUGCUUGAUGAUAUAGCUUAGAUUGGUUAACUUGGAGGUUGUUGUCUUAUUCUUUUCGAACUCUAAGGGCAUCAACACAUCCAUCUCUUUCUAAAAGGCCCCUUAGCCUAUAAAUAGGCUCUCUUGUUUUGUUCAUUGAAAAUUUAAUUAAGUUCUCUUUCGCUAGUUAUUCUUUUGUAUUCUCCUUUUUAUGUGGUUGAUUCUAUACAACCUUGGUGGAUCCUGAGGAAGGGUAACGCAGCUAGUUGGUGGGUUUUCUAGUCAUGAAGCAAAGGUAUCAGUUGGUGGGGGCUCUGGAGACGAUGAGGCACUCUUGAAAAUAAGACACAAAGUUAUUGAUUAUCCCUUAUUCUAGUUCCUUUCUUAACAUCUAAAUCCUUAGUCUUCAGUUCCAAAUUGAUCAUUACUUCCAAAUUAUAUGCUUAAGUUUUAUUUUUUUUUUCUUACAUAGUUUACUUUAAAUGUCCACCGGAAACUCUGAAACUUGCGCUGGGGCCUCCAGGCUGCAUGAACUUGUUCAUUUAAUAAAACAUUUGGAUUCUAGUAGAAAGAGGUUCAAUAAGCACAGAAAAAUCCCAACCCACAAAACAAAAACAAAAAAAAAAAAAAAAAAAAAGAAAAAAAGAAAAAAAGAAAAAAGUCCUUUAGUUUCAAAUUUAAAUGAGUUUAAAAAAUUUUAAGGAUCUAUACCUAACUUGGCAACCCGUUGCUUACAAGUAGAGUUGUCAAUAGCUUAGUUCGCUCUGAUUGGCACAAUUAGCCAGCUCGAUAAAUUUGUAUCAAAUUAAUGCUAGGAUGAUAUUGAGCACCACUCUUCACAGAAUCUCACAUAAUAAGGGAAGGGCACUCUGAUCACAUCUAGAAGCAUUAUUAUUCUUGUUUCGCCUGAAGUAGCCCCUCUUGAUGCAUAGAACCAGGGAG
rnacentral:lncRNA from 1 species